rnacentral:siRNA from 1 species
CACGGGUAGUUCUGGAUUAUAUGG